AUUGAACGCUGGCGGCAGGCCUAACACAUGCAAGUCGAACGAGUGGCGGACGUGUGAGUAAUGUCUGGGAAACUGCCUGAUGGAGGGGGAUAACUACUGGAAACGGUAGCUAAUCCCGCCUACCAUCAGAUGUGCCCAGAUGGGAUUAGCUUGUUGGUGGGGUAACGGCUCACCAAGGCGACGAUCCCUAGCUGGUCUGAUAGGAUGACCACCCACACUGGAACUGAGACACGGUCCAGACUCCUACGGGAGGCAGCAGUGGGGAAGAUUGGACAAUGGGCGAAAGCCUGAUCCAGCCAUGCCGCGUGUGUGAAGAAGGUCUUCGGAUUGUAAAGCACUUUAAGUUGGGAGGCGUUACCAAAAGAAUAAGCACCGGCUAACUUCGUGCCAGCAGCCGCGGUAAUAC
rnacentral:rRNA from 1 species